GUGGGGAAUCUUAGACAAUGGGGGAAACCCUGAUCUAGCCAUGCCGCGUGAGCGAUGAAGGCCUUAGGGUUGUAAAGCUCUUUCAGAUGGGAAGAUAAUGAUGGUACCAUCAGAAGAAGCCCCGGCUAACUCCGUGCCAGCAGCCGCGGUAAUACGGAGGGGGCUAGCGUUGUUCGGAAUUACUGGGCGUAAAGCGCACGUAGGCGGACCAGAAAGUCAGAGGUGAAAUCCCAGGGCGCAACCUUGGAACUGCCUUUGAAACUCCUGGUCUUGAGGUCGAGAGAGGUGAGUGGAAUUCCGAGUGUAGAGGUGAAAUUCGUAGAUAUUCGGAGGAACACCAGUGGCGAAGGCGGCUCACUGGCUCGAUACUGACGCUGAGGUGCGAAAGCGUGGGGAGCAAACAGGAUUAGAAACCCCGGUAGUCC
rnacentral:rRNA from 1 species